GAACAUAGCUCAAGGGUAGAGUGCAUGCCUAGCAUGAACAACGUCCUGGGUUCAAUUCCCAGUACGUCCA
rnacentral:tRNA from 1 species